AAUGAACGUUGGCGGCGUGGAUUAGGCAUGCAAGUCGAGCGUGAUAGGUUUGGUGCUUGCAUUAAACCUUGAAAGCGGCGAAAGGGACAGUAACGCGUAGAUACCUACCUCCAGGUCCGGGAUAGCGGCGGGAAACUGCCGGUAAUACCGGAUAAUGUCUUCGGACCAAAGGUGUGAUUCCGCUUGGAGACGGAACUGCGUCCUAUUAGCUAGUUGGUGGGGUAAUGGCCCACCAAGGCGAUGAUGGGUAGCGGGCGUGAGAGCGUGGCCCGCGUCACUGGGACUGAGACACUGCCCAGACACCUACGGGUGGCUGCAGUCGAGAAUCUUCGGCAAUGGGCGCAAGCCUGACCGAGCGACGCCGCGUGCGGGAUGAAGGCCUUCGGGUUGUAAACCGCUGUCGGAGAGGCGGAGAUCUCUAGGGGUUCUCCCCUAGAGUUGACCUAAUCUCGGAGGAAGUCCGGGCUGAGUUCGUGCCAGCCGCCGCAGUAAUAC
rnacentral:rRNA from 1 species